ensembl:misc_RNA 7SK 7SK RNA
GGAUGUGAGGGCGAUCUGGCUGCGGCAUCUGGCACCCCAUUGAUCGCCAGGGUUGAUUCUGCUGAUCUGGCUGGCUAGGUGGGUGUCCGCUUCCUCCCUCACCGCUCCAUGUGCGUCCCUCCCGAAGCUGCCCUCUUGGUGGAAGAUGAGGACCAUCCCCCAUAGAGGAGGACGGGUCUUCAGUCAAGGGUAUACGAGUAGCUGUGCUCCCCUGCUAGAACCUCCAAACAAGCUCUCAAGGUCCAAAAUGCUGGAAUUACAGGCGUGAGCCACCACGCCCGGCCAAAAUUAACUUUAUUUUU